rnacentral:rRNA from 1 species
AUUGAACGCUGGCGGCAGGCCUAACACAUGCAAGUCGAGCGGAUGAGGAAAGCUUGCUUUUAGAUUCAGCGGCGGACGGGUGAGUAAUGCCUAGGAAUCUGCCUGUUAGUGGGGGAUAACUCGGGGAAACUCGGGCUAAUACCGCAUACGUCCUACGGGAGAAAGUGGGGGAUCUUCGGACCUCACGCUAACAGAUGAGCCUAGGUCGGAUUAGCUAGUAGGUGAGGUAAUGGCUCACCUAGGCGACGAUCCGUAACUGGUCUGAGAGGAUGAUCAGUCACACUGGAACUGAGACACGGUCCAGACUCCUACGGGAGGCAGCAGUGGGGAAUAUUGGACAAUGGGCGAAAGCCUGAUCCAGCCAUGCCGCGUGUGUGAAGAAGGUCUUCGGAUUGUAAAGCACUUUAAGUUGGGAGGAAGGGUAUUCACCUAAUACGUGGGUACUUUGACGUUACCAACAGAAUAAGCACCGGCUAAUUCUGUGCCAGCAGCCGCCGCAGUAA